GAUUGUCGUAGGAGAAGGGUGGUUUCUAGGUAUGUUUAGCUCAUGAUUUUGGUUGCUGGGUCGUUUGCUUGCGGUUCCAUGCCGCUCGCAGUCAC
rnacentral:tRNA from 1 species